AUUGAACGCUGGCGGCAGGCCUAACACAUGCAAGUCGAACGAGUGGCGGACGGGUGAGUAAUGGCUGGGAAACUGCCUGAUGGAGGGGGAUAACUACUGGAAACGGUAGCUAAUACCGCAUACCAUCAGAUGUGCCCAGAUGGGUGUAGCUUGGUGGUGGGGGAACGGCUAACCAAGGCGACGAUGCCUAGCUGGUUGGAGAGGAUGACCAGCCACACUGGAACUGAGACACGGUCCAGACUACUACGGGAGGCAGCAGGGGGGAAUAUUGAGCAAUGGGCGCAAGCCUGAUGCAGCCAUGCCGCGUGUAUGAAGAAGGCCUUAGGGUUGUAAAGUACUUUCAGCGGGGAGGCGUUACCCGCAGAAGAAGCACCGGCUAACUCCGUGCCAGCAGCCGCGGUAAUUC
rnacentral:rRNA from 1 species